rnacentral:tRNA from 1 species
UGGGGUGUGGCUCAGUGGCUGAGCACUUGCCUAGCAUGUACAAAGCCCUGGGUUCAAUCCCAGCACCACAG